AGUGAACGCUGGCGGUAGGCCUAACACAUGCAAGUCGAACGGCAGCACAGGAGAGCUUGCUCUCUGGGUGGCGAGUGGCGGACGGGUGAGGAAUACAUCGGAAUCUACUCUGUCGUGGGGGAUAACGUAGGGAAACUUACGCUAAUACCGCAUACGACCUACGGGUGAAAGCAGGGGACCUUCGGGCCUUGCGCGAUUGAAUGAGCCGAUGUCGGAUUAGCUAGUUGGCGGGGUAAAGGCCCACCAAGGCGACGAUCCGUAGCUGGUCUGAGAGGAUGAUCAGCCACACUGGAACUGAGACACCGUCCAGACUCCUACGGGAGGCAGCAGUGGGGAAUAUUGGACAAUGGGCGCAAGCCUGAUCCAGCCAUACCGCGUGGGUGAAGAAAGCCUUCGGGUUGUAAAGCCCUUUUGUUGGGAAGGAAAUCCAGCUGGCUAAUACCCGGUUGGGAUGACGGUACCCAAAGAAUAAGCACCGGCUAACUUCGUGCCAGCCGCCGCCGUAA
rnacentral:rRNA from 1 species